CAGCCAGAUAAGGCAUUAUCAGAUAACCUGGCAGACAGGAAAAACAACAACAUUCAAAUUUCUGUGAUGGUAGGUAUGAGGUUUGUAGGGGGUGGUCUUGGGUUACACCCCUUCUGUGAUGUAUGUAUGAUGUAUGGAGGGGUGGUCUUGAGCUCCAGGGAAGGCAAUUUAAAAUGUCUAUAUAAGGGCGGUCACACCUUGGUUCUGGGUCCUCCUCCUUUCCUGCGUGUGAGGGGAGCACCCUGUUGCAACAGAUCAAUAAAGAUCAGGCUUAGGAGCUGCUUUGCUUCUCAAUAUUCUCUGGUUGGCCUCUGUUGUCUUCUCCUACCGAUGGAGAACCUACAAAAGACUCUAUAAGGGCUCUUGUGUCCCCCAUAAGGGAAUAAGGGCAGAUUUUGUUUACAACAAUCUAUAUGAUCAUGGGACAUCCAGAAAGCUAUAUAAGAACACAAGUCCUUCCCAAAGGAAGUCUCUCCUCCGAGAUAUAAGGACUUGUUAGAAAAUAAAACCCCAAGAUGGUUGUCACCAAUGGAAGCAAAGGCUCAGAAAAAACUCAGUAUGGAGGCCAAAUGGCCGAAGUAUUGGGAAAUCUUGGAACAAGAGGGAGACAGAUUAAAAUUGCAGAGCUUUGAAAAAUUAAAAAACAGAGUACGAGAUUGGCUCCAUUACUAUCAAAUAAUGGAGGCAUAUAAUUUGGAUAAAAAAUUAAGCUUCCAGGUGGAAAAAUCAAAAUUGGAAACAGAAUUGUUAGACUCUAAAGUUAAGAAUUUGUCAAGAAUGUAUAACUUGCUGCUGAAAUGGAAUACUCAAGAUGAAAUGGUGAAAUCUGCUAUGAUUAAAUGGGCACACGAUGUUGGACAUAAUAUUAUGAUGGCUGACUGGGAACAGUUAUGGACCACUGGUAUGAAGUUUACGGCAUGUAAUGCCUUAAAAGAGAAUUUAAUGAAAAUGAUUUACAGGUGGUACAUAACACCAGUCAAGCUUGCAAAAAUCUACCAUUUGCCCGAUAAUAAAUGUUGGAAAUGUAAUGAAACUGAAGGUACAUUCUUUCACCUUUGGUGGACAUGCCCAAAGAUUAAGGCAUUCUGGGAGAUGAUCUAUAAUGAAAUGAAAAAGGUAUUUAAAUAUACCUUCCUGAAGAAACCAGAGGCCUUUCUCCUGGGCAUGGUAGGCCAAUUGGUGCCAAAGAAGGAUAGAAUUUUUUUCAUGUAUGCCACAACAGCAGCAAGAAUACUUAUCGCAAAGCACUGGAAGACACAAGAUUUACCCACCAGGGAAGAAUGGCAGAUGAAGCUGAUGGACUACAUGGAACUGGCGGAAAUGACUGGCAGAAUCCGAGACCAGGGAGAAGAGUCGGUGGAAGAAGAUUGGAAAAAAAUUUAAAGUAUAUUUACAGAAAUAUUGCAAAAUUAAUGAAUGUUAGAAGGAUGCUGGAAUGAAGCUAUAUGGCUUUAGCAGAAAAGUUAUAAAGAAUUAAGUAAAAAUAGAUUGUUAAUGGACCAAUGUGGAAAAUUUAAGGUUAGAGUGUCUUAAGUUAAAUUCUAGAACGAAAAUUGAGAAAGAUGGAAAGGACUUGCUGAAAUAGCUAAUUGAACUAGAAUACAAAAAAGGGAGGUGUGAGGAGGUCGAUGAAACAAGUAUAUGAAAGGUAAAGAUAUGGAAAGGUUGGAUGUGUUUUUAAAUGUUUUUGUUCUUUUUUGUUGUUGUUUUAUUGUAUUGUUUUAUAAUUUUUUUUGAUGUAAGGUAUUGUUUUGUUUUGUUUAAUUCUUUAUUGUUCUCUUGCUUUUUCUGUAACUUGUAAACUCUUAAUAAAUAUCUUUUAAAAAAAGAAAAAGGAAGUCUCUCCUCUGAGAAAUCCAGCGGCCUGAGACUCCUGGCUAGGAGACACGUGAGAGUCAGGGAGAGCCAGCACAGCACGCCACCCUUUGAGAACGACUCUUCUCAUAUCGGAGAGUACAAAACCUUGUAAACAUGGGACAGUAGUUUAUGACUUGAGGGUGGGGCUCAAGUAACCCAGAACUAAUAAGUCCCUCUGAGUUCAAUGGGGCCAACUCUCAGGUAUAGUCCUAAUUAAUCCCCUGGAAUUUGUAAUUGCACAGUGGCACCUUGAGAGCCAGCUUUUCCUUGGGAGGUGGUUACUACUACUACUACUACUACUACUACCAAUAAUAAUAUUGUUGUUAUUGUUAUUAAAUUUGUAAACGUAAAAAAAAAAAUUCGCAAAUUUGUAAUUCGUAAAUUAAAUCUUUAUUAAAGCCUAUGCAAAACGACCUGGCCAAGCUAGGGCCAUUGAGAAACGAUACAGGGCCAUUGAGAGAACCUUCCUCCUUCCUUGCCCUGUGGGGUGAACAGAGACUGGAGAUUUGGAAGGUUGCCAGGGUCACUGGGUGUGAAGUGACAGGAGGAGAGGCUUGGAAUCAUAGAAUUGUGGCGUUGGAAGGGAUCCAAGGGUCAUCUAGUCCAACCCCCUGCAAUGCAGAAAUCUCAGUUAAAGCAUCCUUGACAGAUGGCCAUCCAACCUCUGCUUAAAAACCUCCAAGGAAGGAGAGUUAACAACCUCCCAAGGGAGACAGUUCCACUGUCAAACAGCUCUUACUGUCAGAAAGAUUUUCUGUAUGUUUAGUCAGAAUCUCCUUUGGUUCCGUAUGUUUCAUUGGAAGUCAUUGGUUCAAGUCCUACCCUCUAGAGCAGGAUAAAACAAGCAUGUUCCCCCUUCCACGUGACAGCCCUUAAGAUGUUUGAAGAUGGUUAUAUCUCCUCUCGGUCUCCUCUUUUCCUGGCUAAACAUACCAGCUCCUUCUACCAUUCCUCCUAAGGCUUGGUUUCCACAGCAAGUGUUGCUGGGAAGAAGAAGUGGGAAGAAAGACUGGGAUCUGGACUCCCUCCAUGAAGACUGAAGGUGUAAACAGGUGAAUAAACCGUAUUUCUUAAAGCUACAACAUUGUCCUGAACACACUGUUAACAUGUUUUGUAAUGAGGAAUGUUCAAUAAAAGGACAACUGGAGGGGCCUUUACUUUGUUAUAUAUUCUACUUACAUUCAUGCCAGGCUGAAGCCCAGACCUACUGAGAAAGCCACUCCCCUUCCCCGGGGUGGUGGAGUUGUGGGUGGGCAGCCGGGACCUCCCUGUGACCUGGCAGGGGGCAGAGGGAUGCCACCCACGUCAUUAGGGCUCCCAGCCACGUCACACCCCUUGGCCGACCAAUCGGGAUAGCUGGGGGUGUGACCAAUGCUGUUUAAACUGCGGUGCAGCUGGGGGGGGGGCAACCUCUAUUCGCCUUCUUGUCGGGUCUCCCAGCCCACCCACCCUCUUUUUUUAUGUGUUGCUUGACUGUGGCCUUGCUAUGACUAAUGUCGGCCGCCUGGUUGUGGGGGCCAGGGAGGAAUUUUUCCACUUGGCAAAUUGGCACCAGCCAUUCGGUUUUCGCCUGCCUUGUAGCAAUCGUCACAGCUUUGUAAGGCUAGGCAUUGGGUAAGCCUUGUCAUGGGGGGGGCGGUUGUUGCCUCUGGCCUGCCCCUCCACGUUAAGGGUAUCCCAUUAAAGGGAUCCAGGGGUGUGGAGCCUGUCCGAAGCCUGGGCUAGGGCCCUGCCACGGCCCCAUCGGUGACCCUGGGGGUGCUCUUAAUUGAUGUAUAUCAUAGGACUCCCCCUCUCGGUGGUUGACCCUUCAGAGACUUCCUGCAGACGGUCAGGAGUCAGGAUAUAGUCUGGCUUCACCCAAAUGCCUAAGCCAAACCGCUCACAUCUGUAACCAAUAAAGUUGUAGCCUACUUUAUCCCAAUUAACCCAAUCUAUUUGUGUCUGUGUGUUUAUUUCAGAGGGAACUGGGGGGCCUGGGGCCUCGCUACACAACCAAACAACAAAGAAAGGGAAAGAAGAAAACAAAGAGAAGGUGAGUCGGUAGGAAGAGAAAGAAAGUGAAGGGGGAAAUGGAAGUCUUGUGUUUCAGGAGUCUCUCUUCAAUAUAUAAACACUUUUCCUCACACAGUGAGCUCUGCUGUGACUUUACUUGAGGGGUUCUCAACUUUCUACAGGAGGACCCACUUGAGUUGAGACAGUUGAAAAGUACUGACACCCAUCCCAGCAUAAUUGGCCAGCAGUUGAAGACAUCCUUUUCUGAUUUCUUUCCGCAGGGCCUGUAAGACAGAGUUGUUCCGCCUGGCCUUUGGCUUGGAGCCAGUUUGAUUCCCUCCCCCUCUUUCUUUUUUCUUUUCCUUUCUCCUCCUGUGAUGAGGCUACAUUUUAAUGUUUCAAUAUUUGAAUGUUGUAUUUUAAUUUUGUUUUUAAGUUGUAUUCAUUCAACUUAUUUUUAUUAUUGCUUGUUAGCCGCCCUGAGCCUUGGCUGGGGAGGGCGGGGUAUAAAUAAAUAUUAUUAUUAUUAUUAUUAUUAUUAUUAUUAUUAUUAUUUUCUAUCUCUUCAGAAUUACGUCCCCUUGAGUGCAAUAGAACUUAAUUUUUCUGGUAAAUGGCAAUAGCAGAGGUUAGCCUUUUUGAGUCCACGGCUCCCUUGGCCAACUAUAUUCUUUCUGUGACACCCCUGUGGGGGUCAGGAGCCCAGUUAGGUCACCUCUCCUGUAAAGGAGCCCUGGGGUGUUUGGAGAAAGCAGUAGAAUUGGCAGCUGUAACUGUACUUGCCUUCCCUGCUUUCCUCGCCUCCAUCUAUGAUCUGUAGUCCAUAGCACAAAACAAAAUGUAUUUCCCAGUCGCUACUUAUUUUUGCCACAUUAUUUGUCCAUAUUUUGGGCUUACUCUAGGUGGCGCUAUCUGCCAGUUUCCCCCUUUGCUUAUAAUGGAAUGGCGCCACAAUCAUAAAGGGAAACAGUUUUUAAAUAAACUUUAACCAAACAAAAUGUUCACUGCUGCUAUUACUGUAUUUAUAUCUCCCAUAUUUCAAGUACAGUGGUACCUUGAUUCUCAAACUUAGUCCGUUCAACUUCCAAAGCGUUCUAAAACCAAGGCACACUUUCCCAUAGAAAGUAAUGCAAAAUGAAUUAAUCCGUUCCAGACUUUUAAAAAGUACAAGUAGUGUCAGGAGGAGAUCAGAUCUCCCUAUUCUCCCUCAAUAGCAGUCAAGGGGAGAGGGGCAAAUGAAGUGGGACAGUACUUCUGGCGGAGAAGUUUAAUCCUUUCCUAGUGCCAUGUUCCCAAUUAAAAUCGCACCAUCAGGUUGUUUGUCCUAUAGGGGAAAACACACAUGCACAAAUAAAUGAUUCUAUGAAAUAGCAGCUUUGGGGGGGCUUUGUUUAAAAAUGCAGCAGAUCCCCAAUGUCACACUGAGUUUGGCUCUUAGCUAUAGAAUCUCCUCCUUAUUCUAGCUGCCUGUCUGGCUGCAGUGAGCUGUACUUGGUGAUGAGAUAAUACUAAGGCGGAUACCUUAUGUCUUGAGAGGAACAAUGGAAAUAUCAUCACCCGAUUUUGCUCAACAUGGUCCUCCUUUUGGGAGCGCAGCAGCAUUUUGUAUACAAUGUGAGUAAACAAUAAAGAAGUAAGG